UACGUAGGGUGCAAGCGUUAAUCGGAAUUACUGGGCGUAAAGCGUGCGCAGGCGGUCUUUUAAGUCAGAUGUGAAAUCCCCGGGCUUAACCUGGGAACUGCGUUUGAAACUGGAAGGCUAGAGUGUGGCAGAGGGGGGUGGAAUUCCACGUGUAGCAGUGAAAUGCGUAGAUAUGUGGAGGAACACCGAUGGCGAAGGCAGCCCCCUGGGAUAACACUGACGCUCAUGCACGAAAGCGUGGGGAGCAAACAGG
rnacentral:rRNA from 1 species